AUGGAUCUUUGUAAGAAAAAACAAAAAAUAAGGAACAAACAAGUCUUUUCUCAUACGUGUGGGGUCAAGUCUUUGGCAAGGAGAAGACAUAGGCUAACUAUUGAGACGGGUAAGACUAUCGGUCGGGGUCUAACAUGGAACAUGACCCAUAAAAAGAAAGAUGGGAGUUAUGUGAAUAAAAAAGUUAAGGAGAUAGGGGAAAAAAUUGAUAGUCACUUAAAUCAAAACUUUGAGGCUUCUUCUGAAUUUCUUUAA